CCGAAGUCUGUGAUCUUGACGUGGUUCGGGUUCUUCACCAGAACGUUGCGGGCAGCCAGAUCUCUGUGGACCAACCGAAUGUCCUCCAGAUAAUUCAUCCCCUGCACCAACACACAGAUCCAUCAAGCUGGAGCCGAAACAAAGGCGGAAAAACCAGAGAGUCGUUAUCCAAAGGUAAAAGACCAGCAGACCCAGCAGGAUGAGGAAGAGCACGACUCCACCGACUGCAGCGGCGAUGGUUGUGGCCGGGCUAAACAGAGAGGAGACGUUUUGCACAACUUCAAAGCUUCUAAUAUGGACAUACAUCGUGGUGCUCCUCAAGGAUCGGUUUUAGUUCAUGUUGACAUGUUUAAGAUUUGUAUCGUUUGCUGAUGAUACCGAUAUUUUCUGUUCUGAUGAGAGUUUAGGUGCUGUUUGCAUUUGAAACUGGGUUUUAUUUUAACUUAAAACAAGUUUGAAUUUAUUUUUGUUCAGUCAAGUUUUUCUCCAGACAUUUAUUGGUGUGCUAAGCUAACGCUGCUCUUGGCAGUUGGUGGUUACAAUAGUAACCAGUAACUGAAAGCUCUUCCCACUUUUUUACAAACUGAGGAGUAUUAUCGUUAGCAGCUCACAGUUGGGAGCUCGGGCCUGCAGGCGGAGCGGUUUGGUGUUCUGUUCGUCCAGAGUGUC